rnacentral:misc_RNA from 1 species
AAUAAUCAAAAUAAACUAAUUUUAGGUAGUAAGAGUUUGCCACUAUAAAUGAUCUACUGCAUAGUUUUUGCUUCAUAUUCAGUCAAGUCCAAAUCUUGGAUUUUGAUAAAACUCGCUUUGGGCCUCAAUAGAAAAGUGUACACAUCUAGAAGAACUACAGUGUUCCCAAGUCCAAGCGUGCAGAUGUAGCUCCAACUCAAAUAGGUGACAAAAGAU